rnacentral:rRNA from 1 species
UACGGAGGGUGCAAGCGUUAUCCGGAUUUAUUGGGUUUAAAGGGUCCGUAGGCGGAUCUGUAAGUCAGUGGUGAAAUCUCACAGCUUAACUGUGAAACUGCCAUUGAUACUGCAGGUCUUGAGUGUUAUUGAAGUAGCUGGAAUAAGUAGUGUAGCGGUGAAAUGCAUAGAUAUUACUUAGAACACCAAUUGCGAAGGCAGGUUACUAAGCAACAACUGACGCUGAUGGACGAAAGCGUGGGGGGCGAACAGG